CACGGUAAACAAAAUAUUGUUAUAGAAAAUAAAAACAUCUGAUCCACCUCAUAAGAACCCAGAAUCACAUUCACCGACUAUGGAUUAUAACAAACCUAAAUACAUCUUUAAGCCAGUCUCCGAAAAGGUGACAAGUAGGAAGUAAUUAAAAACAAGCGUCAACUAAAAUAUACGAAUCGAACCGGCCUACUUAAAACUAAUUACUACCCAACAUAGGCACUGAGAAAGAAAUAUAGGUCUCGAGAAAGAAACAGUAAAGGAUGUAGAUGUAUCAUGAUGCGCUCAACCAGGUUAACAAUGGUCAUGAAGGCAGCGACCACGUAAGGUCUGGAAACCCUGGAUGAGGUCCUUGAGGCAGGAGGCAAUGAGCUUGGCAUAGCGGAGGAGGCUCCCGUGGGCAGUGAGCUUCUCUGCGCUCGUGUCCCGCCCCUCAAAGGUGAUCACGAGCUUGACUUCCUCGAUGCACUUCUGGGUUGGACAUGUCCAUGCCUUCUUCACGGGCUUGACUUCCUCGAUGGAUGUCUUCUUCCAGUUUUGGCGAAAUACUCGGACAGGUGACCCAAAAAAUCGGACGGGCAUACAACUCCCGAUCGUCUUCUUCCGGUUUUGGCGAAAUACCCGGACGGGCGACCGAAAAAAUCGGACGGACAUACAACUCGCCCCAUUAUGUUGAGGCUUUCGUGGUUUCUUUCUUAUAAUGAUCGAGAACGAAGAAGACGAGAAGGGAAAAGAGAGUUCGAGAGGAAUUUAACAGGGGAGAGAGUCGAGAUUUAUAGAGGCGAACCGAAUAUGCGACUGGAGAGAGAAAGGAAAAAAGAGACCGAGUGCUUUAUUUAAACUAGGAAGCUGGAGAAAUCAAAUAUGAAGGCCAACAUCUUAUUUCCUUUAGUAUAGAGAAUACUUCCCC
rnacentral:lncRNA from 1 species